UAAAAACUUCAAGCAUUUUAGAAGAGACGGUUCAGACGAGUGCAUCAUGAAAGUCUUCGCAGUUAUAUGUUUAAUUUUAAGUAUUGGCGCAUGGGCUGUGGCAGCUGUAGACUGUCUCAUGGAUCCUGAGUCAAUGCUUUGCCAAUUGGAUCCAAAUCAGGGAAAAUAGCACAUUUAUAUUGAUUCCCAAGGUUGCACUGAUAAUGAUGAAAAUAAUAUUGUGUGAAUAAACUGCCCAAAUCAUCGAAGAGUGUUUGGUUGAAUUGCACCCAAAACAUUUAAAAAUGAAAUGUACCAUACAUAAA